CCUCGGGCGAGCAGCUGGGGGGUCCUUCUGCGGCGGCGUGGUUGACCCGCCUGGUUAUCCACGCUUAGGGCCCCACCGCGGCAGUCAACUCGACCGGUCGGCUGCUCGCCCGUGCACCGCUACGGGUGUCUACUGGGCGCCUGCCCAGAGAGCCCGUGCCUCCGUCGCUGCUCGCCGGCUGUUACCCGUGGCUGUGGCGGCGGCGGAGGCGUCCCGCAACGAGCUUGCAUUGCUCGCCCACACGAGCGGGCUGCUCCUGAGCCAGAGCUCGGAGGGCCCGUUCCUCCGUCGCUGCCCGCCGGCUUUUACCCGUGGCAGUGGCGGCGACGGAAGGGCUCCCCCACCCGCCGCACGCCCGCGGCGGGUUCCCCUCUGCGACGGGCCGUCCACGGACAAAGGCCCGUUCCCCCUUUUUAGGGGGUAAAUCGAGAAACGAACGAACGAACGAAUUACCCGCCGAGUGGAACGCCAGCACUCCUCGGGCGAGCAGCUGGGGGGUCCUUCUGCGGCGGCGUGGUUGACCCGCCUGGUUAUCCUCGCUUAGGGCCCCACCGCGGCAGUCAAGUCGACCGGUCGGCUGCUCGCCCGUGCACCGCUACGGGUGUCUGCUGGGCGCCUGCUCAGAGAGCCCGUGCCUCCGUCGCUGCUCGCCGGCUGUUACCCGUGGCUGUGGCGGCGGCGGAGGCGUCCCGCAACGAGCUUGCAUUGCUCGCCCACACGAGCGGGCUGCUCCUGAGCCGGAGCUCGGAGGGCCCGUUCCUCCGUCGCUGCUCGCCGGCUUAUACCCGUGGCUGUGGCGGCGACGGAAGGGUUCCCCCACCCGCCGCACGCCCGCGGCGGGUUCCCCUCUGCGACGGGCCGUCCACGGACAAAGGCCCGUUCCCCCUUUUUAGAGGGUAAAUUUAAACAAAAAAAAAAAUUAAAUAAAAAAUUACCCGCCAGUGGAACGCCAGCACUCCUCGGGCGAGCAGCUGGGGGGUCCUUCUGCGGCGGCGUGGUUGACCCGCCUGGUUAUCCUCGCUUAGGGCCCCACCGCGGCAGUCAAGUCGACCGGUCGGCUGCUCGCCCGCGCACCGCUACGGGUGUCUACUGGGCGCCUGCCCAGAGAGCCCGUGCCUCCGUCGCUGCUCGCCGGCUGUUACCCGUGGCUGUGGCGGCGGCGGAGGCGUCCCGCAACGAGCUUGCAUUGCUCGCCCACACGAGCGGGCUGCUCCUGAGCCGGAGCUCGGAGGGCCCGUUCCUCCGUCGCUGCUCGCCGGCUUAUACCCGUGGCUGUGGCGGCGACGGAAGGGUUCCCCCACCCGCCGCACGCCCGCGGCGGGUUCCCCUCUGCGACGGGCCGUCCACGGACAAAGGCCCGUUCCCCCUUUUUAGAGGGUAAAUUAAAAAAAAAAAAAAAAAAAAAAAAUUACCCGCCAGUGGAACGCCAGCACUCCUCGGGCGAGCAGCUGGGGGGUCCUUCUGCGGCGGCGUGGUUGACCCGCCUGGUUAUCCUCGCUUAGGGCCCCACCGCGGCAGUCAAGUCGACCGGUCGGCUGCUCGCCCGUGCACCGCUACGGGUGUCUGCUGGGCGCCUGCCCAGAGAGCCCGUGCCUCCGUCGCUGCUCGCCGGCUGUUACCCGUGGCUGUGGCGGCGGCGGAGGCGUCCCGCAACGAGCUUGCAUUGCUCGCCCACACGAGCGGGUUGCUCCUGAGCCGGAGCUCGGAGGGCCCGUUCCUCCGUCGCUGCUCGCCGGCUUCUACCCGUGGCUGUGGCGGCGACGGAAGGGUUCCCCCACCCGCCGCACGCCCGCGGCGGGUUCCCUUCUGCGACGGGCCGUCCACGGACAAAGGCCCGUUCCCCCUUUUUAGGGGGUAAAUCUGGAGAAGAAGAAGAAGAAGAAUUACCCGCCAGUGGAACGCCAGCACUCCUCGGGCGAGCAGCUGGGGGGUCCUUCUGCGGCGGCGUGGUUGACCCGCCUGGUUAUCCUCGCUUAGGGCCCCACCGCGGCAGUCAAGUCGACCGGUCGGCUGCUCGCCCGUGCACCGCUACGGGUGUCUACUGGGCGCCUGCCCAGAGAGCCCGUGCCUCCGUCGCUGCUUGCCGGCUGUUACCCGUGGCUGUGGCGGCGGCGGAGGCGUCCCGCAACGAGCUUGCAUUGCUCGCCCACACGAGCGGGCUGCUCCUGAGCGGGUGCUCGGAGGGCCCGUUCCUCCGUCGCUGCUCGCCGGCUUCUACCCGUGGCUGUGGCGGCGACGGAGGGGUCCCCACACCCGCCGCACGCCAGCGGCGGGUUCCCCUCUGCGACGGGCCGUCCACGGACAAAGGCCCGUUCCCCCUUUUUAGGGGUAAAAAAAAAAAAAAGAAA